CAAAAAGUUAAGCGAUAAGCUUUUGCGCUUGUUAAACAACUACAGAUAUGCAUAUUUAAAGUCUAUUAAUAUAAUAAUAUGUUAUGAAAGUAUAAUAAAAAAGAAUUGCUACGAUAUAAAUGACAAAGAUUUUUUAGAAUGUUGCAAAAAAAAAAAAGAGAUAGAAAGUGUGCUAGAAGAAGAAAUAAAUAUAACCAAGAAUUUAAAAAAGAAUUGUUAUUCAGGUAAUGAAUUUGAUAAUAUAAUUGAUGACAUAAAUAAAGAUAAAAUAUUAUUAGAUAUAACAAAAGAUUAUACAAUAAAUAAUAUAAACAUAGUAUGUAAAAAAGAAAAUAACAACGAUUAUGAUAUGUUCGAAUGUAGCAAAAAUAUAUCUCCGGAGGUUAGUGACAAUGAAAUUAGAGACGACGGUACUAGGUACAACGGCAGUAAUGAACUUUUAAGCAACGAUGUUACAAAUUUCAAAAGCAAUAAAGACAUAUCCAUUAUAAAUGAAAAAAACAAAUCAGAUUAUAUAAGCUUAGGUGCUCUAGAUUUCAGUACAUAUAAAGAAGAUUCUGAGGGGUAUAUAAAAUAUUGUGAAAAUAAAAAAAGUGCAAGUAUAUCAAAUAAUAGUAAAAAUAAUAACAACAUAAAUAGUAAUAGUAAUAGUAUAUCUAAAGUUGUCUCACCAUUAGAAAUGAAAAAGAAAAGAAUGAUUAAUCAAUCAAUAUAUGCAAAAAGCAAUAAUAAUAAUAAUAAUAGCAAUAAUAAUAGUAAUAAUAGUAGUAAUAAUAGUAGUAAUAAUAGUAGUAGUAAAUACUCGCAAAUUCGUACAACAUCUAAUUUUAAUAAAAGUGUAUAUAUAGAUAAGAAUUUAAAAAUGGGCAAUAUCAGCAGAAGUAUUAGUAAUAGUACAACUGGGAAUCUAAAAAAAACGGAUACUUUACAUAAUAAAAGUGUAUAUGUGAACAGCAAUAUUGGAAAUAUAAAUUUAGGUGUUCAUAAAAAAGAUGCGAAAAGUAGUAUUUAUAAAAGUACAUUUGUUCCUAGUAGUAGUAGUAGUAGUAGUACUAGUAGCAUUAGACCUAUGACAUUGUCAUCUUCCCAUAUAAAUAAAAGUAUUUAUAUAAAUUCGAAACUAAUGAAGAACAAAAAUAGUAAUGUAAAUGAUAAUUUGUUAUCUGUAAGUAAGUUGUCAGUUUUGAACAAAAAUAAUGUAACAAAUGCUAACGAUAAUAACAAAAUAAAUACAACAAAACCAGGAAAUUUAUGUAAUAGCAUUUAUUUAAAAAAAAAAAACACUUCUAUUAUAUCAAAUAACAAUAAUAAUAACCAGAUGGUUAACAACAACGGCCCAAAUAAAAAUUCAUAUAAUAAAUAUAAUAUACCUUCGAAUGAAGUAAAAAAAAGAAAAUUAGAAGACGAAUUUACAUCCGAUUCGAAAAAUUCUGUAAUCACUAAUGUGAAUUUAAAAAACCGAAUGAAUAAUAUUAACUAUGGUUGUGGUAAUAAUAAUGGAAUACAAAUGACGAAUGUUCAACGUGACGAUGGUAAUAAAUAUAUGAAAGUUGUUAAAAAAGAAAACAUGUCAGAAGAAGAUUUAAAAGAAAACAACAAAAACUCAAAAUAUAUUAAUAAUGUUUCAAACAAUAUUACAAAUGAAAAAGAAGACAAUCGUAAAAUAAAUAAACAACUGGCUGAGUAUUUGAGUUCUUCAUAUACGCCUUUGACGAUGGAAGAUGUAGAAAGUUUAUUUGGAGGUAACUAUACAUUUUGUGUAAAUGACUCUACAGCAAAAUAUGGUUCUACGAGUGAUGUUAAUACUACUACUACUAUUACUACUACUACUAGCACCAGUACUAGUACUAACACUACUACUAGCACUACUAUGACAGAUACAUACACUACGAUGAAAAACGAUGCCAGCACUAUGACUGAUGCAGCUACAAAUAUAAGUGAUGGAGUUAUCUCAAAAUCAUUGUAUAUCACUAAAGAAAACGAAAAAAAUGACACAGAAAAUACAAACAUGAGUUUAUCAAACAAUAAUAAAUUAAAUAACACUAACGACUUAGCUAAUAACAUAAAAAAUGAUAUAGUAUCGUGUUCCAAUGAUUUAAAUGUUAAUAAAAAUAUGAUUAAACAACAAACAACUUCAGAUGUAUACUAUAAUUUACAUAUCAAUAAUGAACAUAACAAACUAAGUGAUGCACUAUUACUAAGUCGUAAAAAUGUGAUUCUAAACAUAAAUAAAGAAGUAAUGCGAAUAAAGGCACAAGGAAAUAAAGGGCAAAAAUUGGAUGAAGAAGAAAAGACAGGAGCAGGAGCAAUGAAAGUAGAGAACGAAAAUGAUAAUGAUUCGACAAAAACAGGACGAGUUAAUGAUGAACUAACCCUGAAAAAACAAGAGAGGAUGAUGUUAAAUAAAAUUCCUUUCCCUUGUUCUUUGAAGAAAAAUUUACUUUCCUGUGCAGAUUCAGAUGCAGGUUCUGUUGCAAGUUCUGUUGCAGGUUCUGUUGCAGGUUCUGUUGCAGGUUCUGUUGCAGGGUCAGUUUCAGAAACCAAACAAAAUGAUCAAGCGAAUAAACAUAACAUAGUAGAUAAUAAUCGAGCCAAUUUUCACAUUGAAAUGAAUUUAAAUUUAGAAUACAUUUCACUGGAUAUAGUUGAUUUAGAUAUUGCUAUAAAUGAAGGUUUACAUUAUUAUAAAAAAAUGGAAAAUAGUUAUAUAGAAAGUGAAAAACACAUAAAGAAUAUAAUUCAAUAUACUAAGUUGUUAAAAAAAGAAAAAAACACCGUCGCUUCUGGUAUUAUUUGUUUAAGUAUGUAUGAUAAGGAUGGAUUUACUGAAUUUACUUCUAAGUGCAGCCCUGCGAAAAGUGGAAAAGAAGAACAAAACACAAUAAUAUAUUUUAAAUCUUCUGAUGAAAUAAAAAACGAAAUAAUUAAAUAUAUUGGUAUCUCUAUAUUCUAUUGUAUAAAUAAUGAGUCAUUGGUUCCAUCUGCUUCAUUAGUAAAAGAUAAAAGACUAGAAUUAUGGUUUACUAAAAAAAAGAAACAGAAAAUAAAUACAAGAAUGUUAUCAGAUUCUAAAAAUUGUGAAAAUAAUUUUAGAUUCAAAAAAAAAAUAACAAGAGCUAGUUGUAUUGGAUACUUCUCACAACCUAUAACUAUAAUGUUAUGUUCAUUGAAAAGAAGAAGUGAAUAUAAAAAUUUGAAACGUAUUAUAAGGUCAAUUAUAAAAUGUACAUGUGAUUCUUCUACUCUAGAAAUUAUUUUACAUACCAUACCUGAUGAAUUUAGUAAACAUUUUUCACUUUGGAAUGAAGCAGUAAGACAGUUAGAUGCACAUGUAGGUGCAGAUAAAAAGAAGGAAAUAAUAAAAAAAUAUUUUUUAAAAAAAAAACAAAACGUUAAAGAGAGAGUAAAAAACGGAUUAGAUACAGAAUGUUCAGACACAACUGAGUCAGACCAAAAUGAAUCAGGCUCCGAUUCCAACGGGCGCAAUAAAUGUCAUAAUAAUGAUGAUAAAUUUAAUUUUAGAAAGUAUGAUUAUAUGAAAAAAAUGAACAAUUAUAACAAUAAUGGCUUAAAUAUAGAAGAUUAUUUUUCAACAGAUAGCGGGAAAAUAGAAAAUGAUGCAUGUGGAAUAUCAAAAAAAGUAAUAGGUCUAUCGAAAGAGCAACAUAAUUUAAAAAAUAAAGAGGAUAAAAAAAAGAAUGAUGACUUUAACAUAUUAGAAGAUGAAGAGUUUUGUUUAUUUAUUUGUUCGAUAAAAAAUAUACAUAAACGAUUUAAAUAUUUGAUAUUAAUAGAAAAUUUUGAUUAUAUAUAUAAAGACUUAUUAAAACAUAUAAUAAACAAAUUACAUAUGAUUGAUUUGAUAAUAAAUAAGCAUAUGUUAUUAAAACAACUUUUUUGUAAUAUUUUAUUUUUAUGUAAUUGGUUAAACACACCAAAAAUAUAUAAAUGGUUUCAUUGGAAUGUGGUGUUAAAAAAAAUGGAAAAAUUGUACGGCUAUUUAGAAAAUGGUCGAAUAUCAAAAGAAAAAUGUAUUAUGCUUCUUUUAGCUGAACAUACAGGUAAAAUAUUUACCGACAAAGAAUUAAAUGAAUUUAAA
rnacentral:lncRNA from 1 species